AUUUCUUUGAGGACCUGUGGUGAUAACACGAUCAUGUGACUUAGAGGCGAAGUUAAAGUUCCCAGAGCAGCCAGAAGUGCAGAGUGUAUGUGGAAAAGGAUGGAUGCCGAACACCUUCCAGGAGUGAGGGACCAUCCUGGCACAGCAGCAUUCCACCCUUUUGGCCAGAAUGGAUAUCAUGUAGGCUGGGACAAAAACUUAAAAGUAGGGAUGCACUGAAAGGCCUUUGCUGCUCGCAACGUUUGAUACCAGAAUACCCAGGAGAGUGAUUCAUUAUCUGCACAUCUGCCAGGAUCCUCUCAGAGCCAAAACUCCUACAACCAAAUAAAUCGGAUCCUGUGAAAGUCUCUGUGUUAAAAUGUCUUAAGCUCAAAACUGUUUUUUUCUUUCUUUUAUGUGUAAAAAAGCGACAGGAGGGCCUCUAGCUAGGGGACAGGGGAAUAUAUAUAUAUAUAUAUAUAUAUAUACACAUUAC